AAAGUAGUUAAAUUCUACUAUUAAGGA
rnacentral:tRNA from 1 species